GACGAACGCUGGCGGCGUGCUUAACACAUGCAAGUCGAACGGUGAAGCUCCAGCUUGCUGGAGUGGAUCAGUGGCGAACGGGUGAGUAACACGUGAGCAACCUGCCCCUGACUCUGGAAUAAGCGCUGGAAACGGCGUCUAAUACUGGAUACGAGAAGGGUCCGCAUGGGCACCUUCUGGAAAGUUUUUCGGUUGGGGAUGGGCUCGCGGCCUAUCAGCUUGUUGGUGAGGUAAUGGCUCACCAAGGCGACGACGGGUAGCCGGCCUGAGAGGGCGACCGGCCACACUGGGACUGAGACACGGCCCAGACUCCUACGGGAGGCAGCAGUGGGGAAUAUUGCACAAUGGGCGAAAGCCUGAUGCAGCGACGCCGCGUGAGGGAUGACGGCCUUCGGGUUGUAAACCUCUUUCAGCAGGGAAGAAGCGAAAGUGACGGUACCUGCAGAAGAAGCACCGGCUAACUACGUG
rnacentral:rRNA from 1 species